UACGUAGGUGGCAAGCGUUGUCCGGGUUUAUUGGGCGUAAAGCGCGCGCAGGCGGUCCUUUAAGUCUGAUGUGAAAUCUUGCGGCUCAACCGCAAGCGGUCAUUGGAAACUGGGGGACUUGAGUGCAGAAGAGGAAAGCGGAAUUCCACGUGUAGCGGUGAAAUGCGUAGAGAUGUGGAGGAACACCAGUGGCGAAGGCGGCUUUCUGGUCUGUAACUGACGCUGAGGCGCGAAAGCGUGGGGAGCAAACAGG
rnacentral:rRNA from 1 species